UUAGUCCUCUUGGUAUUCUUCUCAGUCUUCUUGGUAUUCUUUCUAUCAGUCCUCUAUUUUCCAUCAGUUUUCUGCUUUGGAUUCAGUAAUCAAGUUCUUUAAGUCAUAUUCAGUGUGUGUUCCUCAGUAUUUUUUUUCUUUCUAUCAUUCAUCUGUUUCAGUUCUUAGUUAUCAAUCAUUAGUUAUCUUUAUUCCUUAGUCCUCUUGGUAUUCUUCUCAGUCUUCUUGGUAUUCUUUCUAUCAGUCCUCUAUUUUCCAUCAGUUUUCUGCUUCGGAUUCAGUAAUCAAGUUCUUCAAGUCAUAUUCAGUGUGUGUUCCUUAGUUUGUCAGUCAUUUCUUUUAGUUUGUCAUGUCCUUAGUUUUUUCAGUUUUAGAUUUCUGUAUUUUAGGUUCAGUGUCAUUUUAAGUCUUAUCCAGGUUUCAGUAUUUGUCCUCAGUUUUCUUCCAUAUAUGUCAUCAGGUUUCAGUAUAUAUGUCCUCGGUUUUAUCCCGAGUGUCCAAUUUUUGCCUCUUUGUUCAGUUUGUCCAUGAUUGCACAGUUUGUGUUAGUUUCUUCAGUCUAUGUUAAGUGUUUGUAUAUUCAGUGAUUGAUCGAUUAUCAGUUAUUUAUGCAGGAAGGUGAUCAUGUUUUUAUUGAGUUCUUCUCUGCCAAGUGGAACAACAGGGACACAAGCCUUAUCUAACUCUAGUACAUUUUCUUUAUGUAUAAAUGAUUCACAAGUAAGGUGAUCACAUAAAUGCAGCAUGUAUAUAUAAAUGAAAAUUUCAGGGAAGGGAGGGCAGUGUGUUGUUACCUGAGAUGAUUCCCCUUGGGGUGGCACCAUGUGGUUGUGCUCUGGAUCGUAAGCAGCAUCACCCUCACAUGCUUCCUCCGGCUCAGCCUGCAUGCUUGUUUCAUUUGAUUCAGGUGUGUGUUCUCCACUUGCAGCAACUGAACCCUGCAUUGCAUGUUUUUUCAGUUUUCAUCAGUCUCUAACUUAGGAAGUAGUUUCACAUGUGCCUCUUUUCUAAAGGAUUGGUCAUUUCGAAUGUCACAUUCUCUCAAUUUUUUCUCCUUUUUUCUUUUUGUGGCAUCUACUUACAAACACAAGGUUAAUCUGCCACUAUCACUUUUUUCACUCAUGUUCUUCUUUGCUAGCUAAUUUUUCAUCCCCCUCCCCAUGAACAUGAACUGGAAAUUCACAUUCAGUCACCCCCCUACAUUUUUCUCUAGGUAAAAUAUGAACACAGAGCACCUGUCUUCUCUGAAUUUUCAGUUUUUAUUCACAGAUUGAAAGAUUCUUCAGUAAGGAAAAGUAUGCAACUAGUGGGGUGGGUUGGGGCGAGAGGGGUGUACCUUAGUUUGGGCGAGGGCAGUCCGCGGCGGCUCCAAG
rnacentral:lncRNA from 1 species